ACUUUUAACAAUAGAUCUCUUAGUUCUAGCAUUAAUAAAGAACAUAGGGAAAUGCGAUAAGUAGUAUAAAUUGCAGAAUUUAGUAAAUUAAAAUCUUUAAACGCACAUUGCGCCCCUUAGUAUUCUAUAGGGCAUGCCUGUUUAAGCGUUAUUUGUACCCUUAAGCUCUACUUAGUGUUAGGUGUUUGUUCUACUUAGGACUCGCCUUAAAACAAUUAGUAGCUAGCACAUUAGCCUAGAGCGCAGCACAUUUUGCGCCUCUUAUUAUAGUUAUUAGUAUCUAUUAAGACACUUUUUAAGCUCUUAACCUUAGAUUAGGUAGGGAUACCUGCUAAACUUAAGCAUAUUAAUAAGCAGAGGAAAAGAAACUAAUAGGGAUUGCCCUAGUAACAGCAAAUAAAGUGGCAAUAGCUUAAAUUUAAAAUCUAGCUCUUUUAGGGUCUAAGUUGUAAUUUGCAGAGGGCGCUUUAGCGUUAGCAGCGGUCUAAGUUCCUUAGAAUAGGAUGUUAUAGAGGGUAAGAAUCCUAUACGUAGUUGCUAGCCUUUGCCGUGUAAAGCCCCUUUAACAAGUUAAGUUAUUUAGGAAUAUAGUUCUAAAUAGGAGGUAAAUUUCUUCUAAAGCUAAAUACUAGCUAGAGACUAAUAGCGCACAAGUAGAGUAAUUAAAAGAUAAAAAGCACUUUAGAAAGAGAGUUAAAUAGCACGUGAAAUUGUUAAAAGGGAAGCGCUUGCAGCUAGACUUACCUAUAGUUACUUAUCUAGGCUUUUAUCUAGUGCACUCUUCUAUAGGCAGGCUAGUAUUAGUUUAGGUAGUUAGAUAAAGGUCUCUAUUACGUACCUCCCUUUAGGGAGGCCUUAUAGGGGAGACGACAUGCAACUAGCCUAGACUAAGGUCCGCGUAUCUGCUAGGAUGCUAGCGUAAUAGCUAUAAGCGGCCCAUCUUAAAACAUAGACUAAGGAGUCUAAUAUCUAUACAAGUGUUUAGGUGUUAAGCCUAGACGCGUAAUAAAAGUGAACAGAGGUAGGACCCCUUUUAGGGUGCACUAUUAACUAAUCCUAAUAUCUUUAGAAGGAUUUAAGUAAGAGCAUAGCUAUUAGGACCUAAAAGAUAGUGAACUAUACUUAAAUAGGGUAAAGCUAGAGGAAACUCUAGUAGAGGCUCGCAGCAGUUCUAACGUGCAAAUUAAUUAUUAAAUUUAGGCAUAGGGGCAAAAGACUAAUUAAACUAUCUAGUAGCUAGUUCCUACUAAAGUUUCCCUUAGGAUAGCAGUAACGUAUUUAGUUUUAUAAGGUAAAGCGAAUAAUUAGAGGCCUAGGGGUUAAAAUAACCUUUACCUAUUCUUAAACUUUAAAUAUAUAAGAAGUCCUUGUUACUUAAUUAAACGUAGACACUUGAAUGUACUGUUACUAGUAGGCUAUUUUUAGUAAGCAGAACUAGUAAUACAGAAUAAACUAAACGUGGGGUUAAGGUGCUAGAAUACACGCUUAUUAGACACCACAAAAGGUGUUAGUUUAUCUAGACAGCAGGAUAGUAGCUAUAGAAGUUAGAAUCUACUAAGGAGUGUGUAAUAACUUACCUGCUAAAUAAACUAGCCCUAAAAAUAGAUGGCGCUUAAGCGUGUUACCUAUACCCUGCUGCUAGGGCAAGAUUUAAGCCCUAGCAAGUAGGCAGGCGUAGAGGCUUGUGACAAAGCCUUAGGGGUAACCCUAGGUAGAAUAGCCUCUAGUGUAGAUCUUAGUAGUAGUAGUAAAUACUUAAAUAAGAACUUUAAGGACUAAAGUAGGGAAAGGUUCUGUAUAAACAGCAGUUAGACAUAGGUUAGUUAAUCCUAAGAGAUAGGGUAAUUCUAUUUUAAUAUUAGCGCUUACGCCACGCCCUUAAAAGGGAAGCUAGUUAAUAUUCUAGCACCUAGAUAUAGAUUCUCUGCGGCAACACAACUAAGAGCGGAGACCUUAGCAGGAGCCCUAAGAAGAGUUCUCUUUUCUUCUUAAUAGUCUAUUACCCUAAAAUUAGUUUGUCUAGAGCUAGGGUUUAAUAGCUAGAAGAGCGCUGCACUUUUACAGCGUUUAGUGCGCUCCUAAUAAGCCUUAAAAAUCUGCUUAAAGAAAUAGUUUUUACGCUAGGUUAUACUUAUAACUAUAGUAGGUCUCUAAGGUAAAAAGCCUCUAGUUAAUAGAAUAAUAUAGAUAAGGGAAGUUAGCAAAAUAGAUCUAUAACUUUAGGAAAAGGAUUAGCUCUAAGGGUUAGGUACGUUAGGCCUUAGGGAGAAGCCUCUAGCGCAGAAGGGCACUAACUGUAAGGUAGGCGCCUCUUAGCGCUAGGGUGCAGACACCCUUAGCAGGUUUUAGCUGUCUAGCGUACGUUUAACAACUAACUUAGAACUAGUAUAAAUAAGGGGAAUCUAACUAUCUAAUUAAAAUAUAGCAUUAUAAUAGCUAGAAAGUAGUAUUAAUAUAAUGUGAUUUCUGCCUAGUGCUCUAAAUAUUAAAGCAAAGAGAUUUGACUAAGCGUGGGUAAACAGCAGGAGUAACUAUAACUCUAUUAAGGUAGCUAAAUGCCUUAUUAUCUAAUUAGUAACGCGUAUAAAUAGAUUAACAAGAUUCCUACUAUCCUUAUCUACUAUCUAGCAAAACCAUAGCUAAGGGAACAGGCUUGGCUAAAUUAGCAGGGAAAGAAGACCCUAUUAAGCUUAACUCUAGUUUAACAUUAUAAAAAGAUAUAGGGGGUGUAGAAUAGGUAGGAGCUUUAGCGCUAGUAAAAUACCACUACCCUUAUCGUUUUUUUACUUAUUUAAUAAAGCAGAGCUAGGCCUUACUACCUAACUUCUAGCGUUUAAGGUCCUUUGUAGGCUAAUCUAGGUUAAAGAUAUUAUUAGGUAGGGAGUUUAGCUAGGGCGGCAUAUCUAUUAAACUAUAACGCAGGUGUCCUAAGGGGGACUUAUAGAGAAUAGAAAUCUCUAGUAGAGCAAAAGGGUAAAAGUCCCCUUAAUUUUAAUUUUUAGUGUGAAUACAAACUAUAAAAGUAUAGCCUAUUAAUCCUUUAGUCCCUUAAAAUUUAAGGCUAGAGGUGCUAGAAAAGUUACUAUAGGGAUAACUAGCUUGUGGCAGCCAAGCGUUUAUAGCAACGUUGCUUUUUAAUCCUUUAAUAUUAGCUCUUUCUAUUAUACUAAAGUAGAAUUUAGUAAGCGUUAGAUUGUUUACCCACUAAUAGGGAACGUAAGCUGGGUUUAGACCGUUGUGAGACAGGUUAGUUUUACCCUACUAAUAACCUUGCCCUAAUAGUAAUACUGCUUAGUACAAGAGGAACCGCAGUUUUAGAUAAUUAGUUUUUGCGGCUGUCUAACUAGGUAUUGCCGCAAAGCUACUAUCUGCUAGAUUAUAGCUAAACGCCUCUAAGUUAGAAUCUAUGCUAGAAUAGGGUAAUUUCUACCUGCACUAGUUAGAUAUAAAUAGGCCUUUGGCCUAGAACCUUACUAGAUUAGCGUUAGCAGCCCUAUUAAAGUUAGAGUUAUUAGCUAGUGUAUUACAAUUAUAUAGUGCGCAGGAUUAAAUCCUUUAUAGAUAACUUAGUUGUCUGGCUAGGUCGUGUAAGUAGUUAAGUAGCCUUGUUGUUACGAGCUACUAAGCGUAAACCUGUUGCUAGCUUAGUUAAAAUUAGGAUAUUAUACCCUCCUUAUUUGCAAAACUGCUGCCUAAAAUUUUAGCCUGACUAUUAGUAUAGAAGGAAGAGGGCUAUAGCUAACAUGUUAUAUAGCAAUUGUAAGAUAGCGAGGGCUAGAGCUAGAAGCAAUCCUUACAAAAUAUACAAAAGAACAGGUUAUGUGUGUACGUACCUUAGGCAGUUAAAUUAUAGUAUAUAAAGAUUAAGAAAGGACAUAAAAUAAUCUAUACAUAUUUAUAGGCGGUGUUCUAUAACUUAGGGCGUUCUAUAACCCUUUAUUUUUUAGGGGUAGUGUUCUAUAACUUAGGGCGUUCUAUACUUAAAAAAUCUUAUAGGCUAUUCUAUAACUAUAGAUUAUUCUAAACCUUUAGGGCAUUCUAUUAAUGUUUUAAAAAAUCUAGUAGGCUAUUUUAUAAGCUUAUAGCGUUCUAUAACUUUAGGGCGUUCUAUAACUUAGGGCGUUCUAUAACUUUUUACUUCUUAGGGGUAGUGUUCUAUAACUUAGGGCGUUCUAUAACUUUUUACUUCUUAGGGGUAGUGUUCUAUAACUUAGGGCGUUCUAUACUUAAAAAAUCUUAUAGUGUAUUCUAUAACUAUAGAUUAUUCUAAACCUUUAGGGCAUUCUAUUAAUAUUUUAAAAAAUCUACUAGGCUAUUUUAUAAGCUUAUAGCGUUCUAUAACUUUAGGGCGUUCUAUAACUUAGGGCGUUCUAUAACUUAGGGCGUUCUAUAACUUUUUACUUCUUAGGGGUAGUGUUCUAUAACUUAGGGCGUUCUAUACUUAAAAAAUCUUAUAGGCUAUUCUAUAACUAUAGAUUAUUCUAAACCUUUAGGGCAUUCUAUUAAUGUUUUAAAAAAUCUAGUAGGCUAUUUUAUAAGCUUAUAGCGUUCUAUAACUUUAGGGCGUUCUAUAACUUAGGGCGUUCUAUAACUUAGGGCGUUCUAUAACUUUUUACUUCUUAGGGGUAGUGUUCUAUAACUUAGGGCGUUCUAUACUUAAAAAAUCUUAUAGGCUAUUCUAUAACUAUAGAUUAUUCUAAACCUUUAGGGCAUUCUAUUAAUGUUUUAAAAAAUCUAGUAGGCUAUUUUAUAAGCUUAUAGCGUUCUAUAACUUUAGGGCGUUCUAUAACUUAGGGCGUUCUAUAACUUAGGGCGUUCUAUAACUUAUGGCGUUCUAUAACUUUUUAUUUUUAGGGGUAGUGUUCUAUAACUUAAGGCGUUCUAUACCUUUUGUUUAUUCUAUUACUUUAGUGCUUUCUAUAACUUUAGACUAUUCUAUAAUAGUAGCUAUUAUAUCCUUUUUAUAAUCCUUAUAGUAUUAUACUAUUAUCUAUUAUUCUUUACUCUUAAGUAUAUCCUUAUAUUUUAUAAAUCUUUUUCUUUACUAGCUAGUCCUACUAUACUUUUUUAUAACCUACUAGUAUUAAAUAAUACCUUUAUAUUCUUCCUCUAUACUAUCUCUAUUUCUUGCCUUAUAUAUUAAGUAGAUAUAGAUAGAGCUAAUAGAUCUAUAGUUAAUAUAGAUAAAGUAGUUAUAGUAGAGUAUAGAUAUUAGAGUAGAGAUCCUUAUCUAUAUAUUUACCUACUACUAAUAGAAUUCUAAGUUGCUCUUAUCUAGCGAAUACGGGUUUAUAGUUUGUAUAGGGCUACGCAUGUCUAUAUGGUUUUACAUAUAAAAAAGUGUACCUCUAAGCUAUUUUCUGCUGCAAUAACCCCGCAACGUAAAAAUUAAACUAAAACCUAUUCCUAUAAUAUAUAAGGAGGGCAAAUAGAUUCUUAAAUACUAAAUACCUAACUAACUAACUAAGGUUAAAUCUGCUACGCGCAGUUCUUAGAUUAGGCAGUUAAACUAGCGUUAUUAGGCACUAAGGGGGCAAUUUUUGCUUGUGUCCGCGUCUAUACUCCCUAUAACUCCCUGUUGUUAGCGCUCUACGCCUGUUUUAGCGGCAGUUAGACUAAAUUUAAAAGUUUUAGUUUUAUAAUAGCUAGCCUUAUUUCCUAGAUUUCUGCCUAGUUUAGAUUCGCUCUAAUUAGUAGGUAAUUAGGGGCUUAGAGAUUACUCUUCUACUUAACUAGGCAGGCCUAGGCCUAUAUACUAAAGCAACCCUGCUAUUAUGCCUAGUUUUAUAGUUAGCACCUAAAGUCCUACUAUUAAAGUUUUAGUAGUAGGCAAAAUUUAGGGUCUAUAGAUAGCUAGCACUGCUAAACUAUUUAAUAGAUCUUAGGGGAUAGCCCUGCCUAGCAUCCGCUCCUAGUAAGCGUAGUAAAGCGUAGGUUUUCUCUACUUAAGGCAUGUAUGUGGCGAGUUUAAACACGUAGAAACGCCUAUUAGGCUUUGUUACAGACUAUUCCUUAAGAAACUUAGUAGGGGUAAUUAAAUUAGUUGCUAGUUGUAACUAGUGCCUUGUGUGCUAUUAUGCUAGUAGCUAGAAUUGCUUCUGCGAUUUCUUAUCACGUACUUUCUGCCUUCUUUUAGGGGUAGUGCUUGUGCGCUUUAGCGUAUUAGGUAUUAGGAUUGUUACCUAGUUAAUUCUGCUAGUAGUUAUAUACUUAUCUUAAAGAUUAAGCUAUACAUGUCUAAGUAUAAGUAAUUAUACUGUGAAACUACAAAUAGCUUAUUAAAUUAGUUAUUGUUUAUUUAAUAGUACCUUACUACUUAGAUAACUAUAGUAAUUCUAGAGCUAAUACAUGCUAAAAACCCUAACUUUAGAAGGGGUGUAUUUAUUAGAUAAAAAACUAACGCCCUUUAGGGCUUCUUAGUGAUUUAUAAUAACUUUACAGAUCGCAUAGCCUUACGCUAGUAAUAGUUUAUUUAAAUUUCUGCCCUAUUAACUUUU
rnacentral:rRNA from 1 species